GUUCUGACUGAAAAAAGCCCUCGAGACAGUGUUUAAUGCGGCCUAAACCCCGAGGGGAGGCCCCGGCUGAGGCAGGCGCCGAGCACAGCCCCAGCGCUGUAGGUAAAUCACCCCCCCCUGCACCUCCGGUUCCUCAGGCGGGCCCAUAUCAGCUCUGAGAGCUCCCAGUGCUGCCAGCAGGACAGUGGGAUUUGUCGUGUGAAGAGUGAAUGCACAGAUGUGACACAUUUGAAGAGAAGGGAAGUACAAAUACCACACUACCAUAUCAAAAGAGCCCUGGUGGCUUUGUCAGCAGGGAAGGAGAACAUCCAAGAGUUAAGGGCUGCUACUGGAACACAGAAGUGCUGCAAACACUGGCCUCAGAAACCGUUAUUUGCUCCAUUUUAUGUGCUGCCCUUGUCGAUGUGCCAGGCCAGAAUCAAAAGAGAUUCUGCCAAAUGGGACAUCCUACAAGCAUCAGGCUAAAGCCACACUCCCCAACUGAGAUCCCUGAGGAUCUGCAUCAAGAGACAUCGAUGGUUCCCAAUAUUGAAUGAGACAUGCUGAGAAAGGAAGAUUCUCACUACGGGAAGAAGCCACAGAGGGCCAUGGGGAUGCAAGUCAAGUACCACGCUGGAGAACAAACAAGGGUUGAAGAGCCCCACACAGCACACACUGGAAGUUCCCCCACCAUAGCACACUGCUCAAGUCUCUGCUGCUGCAAUUUGCAUGUCUCUGACCUGGCAAAACUGGUAACCUAAACACUUUAUGGAACGAAAUAAAUGGCUUCAUGUACAAAUAUUUAGGUAAAAGCAAUUUAGAAAA